CACUGUUUUAGGGCAUGAGAGGUUCUAAUGUAAUUAGACUGGUUUGUGGUCUGGGGUUGGCAAUCUUUUAAAGUCUCUCCAAAUGUUUCUAAUACAUGGCCAAGGUUAAGAGCCACCUCUCCAGGAACACUUUCCCAUCAGUCCUGCCCCUCCCCAGCUCUGGGUCCUUGCCUCUGUCAGGAGCUAUCUUAGCAGCAUGUGCUUCCCUCCAUUGUGGCAAUUAUCUCACUGCCCAGCAGAGGCAGCUUAUCUGUCUCCCUCACUAGGUGGUAAACCUUCUCUGGGCAAGGAAAGACUGGAUUCUUCUCUCCUUUACCUCAGUGUUUUUAUAGGUGCUUAAUAUUUGUUGAUUGGAUUAGUCUAAUACAUGGACCGCCUCCAACUCUUAGAAGCAAACGUAAACAGGAUCAGCUAAUGUGCUCACCAGAUGAAGGACGAUAUUCUCCUUUGAUACUGAGAAGUGCAAAGAAAGACAAGUGUUCUGUGGUUUGGGAUGAUGUUUCUGGAAGGAGAAUGGAAUGGAAGCUGAAUCAGAUGUUCCACCUCACUCGGAAUUGAAAUUAAGAUUUUUGAGCAGGGUCUAGCAGGAUAGUGAAGUCAUUGUUAAGAGCAUGGGCUCCGUGGCCAGACUGCCUCAGUUUGAAUUCUGCCGCCUUUUCUGUUGCUUGUAUGAUCUUGGCAAAGUUACUUAAUUAUUCUGUAUUCCAGUUUCCUGUUGUGUAAAAUGAGGUUAAUCGGAGUACUUUCCUUUUGGGUUCAUCAGUUUUGAGGAUUAGAAUACAUGUAAAGCUAUCAGAGCAAUACUGAGCACUUACUAAGUGCUAUUACACUACCUUUUAAUUAAUGGAAAUGUAUAGAAAUUAAUCUAAUUAUUAAAUCUUAGGUUGGAAUAAAUGGUUCUCAUUUUCCUAGCCCCUACUUAAGCCCAAAUACGAACAUUUUCCCUCCUCAUUAGGACC
rnacentral:lncRNA from 1 species